AGAUGUGCUGUGAUGAAAUCUUCAAAGUAACCAGUUGUGUGGCUAGCUGGCCAGGAUCUGUGCAUGACAGCCGCAUCUUUAGACAAUCAGCGCUGUGUGCACAGUUUGAGAAUGGUAUGAGAAUGGACAACAUGAUGGAUUGCUAUUGGGUGAUUCUGGCUACCCUUGCCGGCGAUUUCUUAUGACAGCAUUUCUGAAUCCAUCAACCCCAGCA